rnacentral:rRNA from 1 species
CAAUAGCGUAUACUAAUGUUGUUGCAGUUAAAAAGCUCGUAGUUGAACUUCUGGUAGGAGUGUCCCGGCCUUUUUGUUUUUACAAAUUGUAUGCUGUGUGACAUCUCUGGCCAUCCUUCUUCUUUGUUUAAAGAAGAUCUUUCACUGUAAAAAAAUUAGGGUGUUCAAAGCAAAAGUUUCUUUGGAAUAUAUUAGUAUGGGAUGAUAAGAUAGGCUCUAGAUGCUAUUUUGUUGGUUUGCACAUUUAGAGAAUGAUUAACAGGGACAGUUGGGGGUAUUCGUAUUUACAUGUCAGAGGUGAAAUUCUUGGAUUUUGGAAAGACGAACUACUGCGAAAGCACUUACCAAGGAUGUUUUCAUUAA